AAGGGUAAGACCCCAGAAAGACUAUCUGGUUGAUAGGUCGAAGGUGUAAGUGCAGCAAUGUAUUUAGCUUAUCGAUACUAAUAGGUCGAGGACUUGACCAAUAUUUAUUUGAUGUUCAUUCACU
rnacentral:rRNA from 1 species